UAGGUAAUGGCCAAAGUUAAGGCUUUUAUUUGUUAAGUAAAGGAUUGUAUGAAUAUACUUACCUAG
rnacentral:tRNA from 1 species